UCCAUCAUCAACAGAUAUCUGUAAUCCCGUGCUUGGACUCAUCUAAAUCUCCACCUGUUCAUUGUUCAACAGCACGAGCUACCCAAAGAUGAAAUCGCAAGGAUGGUGAAGGAUUCAGAGGGAGAUGUGAGAUACCUGAUUGAUAGCAUCCAUCACCGUUCAAAUCUACGGAAGAAGAUGGCUGAGAAAACUCGUGCUACCGUCUCAUCAAGCUCCCUGGGGCAAUCAGCGAAGCCGAGGCCUUUCCCUGUGCCUGAUGGGUUGCCGAAAACGCAGGAAGAGCUUGCUGAAGAAGAGGAAGCCCUGAUGCCUGAGUCUUCUUACACCAGGUUACUCAGAAGGAUGGGGAGAUACCCUGAUUGGUACACCCCACGCCCUGAUCAUGAGACUGACUGAAUCAAGUCAUCCACCAUCAUCCAACUGUCCGUUUUCGAAAUUUUGCGGCGUGAUAAUCUGAACCUCUGUGGCCUCUGAUAUAGAUUAGUGUUGAUGUUGCACCUAUGCAGAUUAAGCUUGUUCUUCCCUGCUUUUGCUAUAUGAACUGUAUGAUGGUGUCUGCUUUGUGCUGUACAGC
rnacentral:lncRNA from 1 species